UAACUUUCGAUAUUUAUUUAGCAUAUAUAUAUUUUUUACAUAAGUAUAAAAAUAGUUUUUAUUUAGUAUGUAAUAAUGAAAAUAUUAUAUUGGAAGUACAAUCAUCUGUUAAGUCGAAUGCAGUUUGGCGAUGUUUUUGUUGUUGUAUUGAUGAUGACAAAUAUUUCAUUUUCAGUAAGCAACGUAGAAUUCUUUACAACAACAUUGAAAAGUUUAUCGAUAUUUAAGGAACUUAGGUAAAAAAACAGUGACCAGAUUUGUAAUUUGUUCAUAGUUUUUCAUAGGAUAUUGGAUAAAAUACAGGGAAAGUGAUUCUAGAAUAUGACUACACAUAGUGUAAAAAAACUGUAGACAUAAUAGGAAUCUCUAAUCAUUGCUAAAAGACUUGAACGUAUCUAACUUCUACAUAAGUUUCGAAGAAAUGUAUUUCUAGUUGAAGGUAUUAUGAUAACUAACGGUAGUUGAGUAUUUACUUGUAUUAUUUUCCUGAUAUAAGUUCAUAUGAUAGUUAUAUAUUUUUAGAGAUGUGCAGACAUAGCAAGUUUUUGGAUUAUGAUUGUGAUAUAUAUCCUACAAUAUAAAUACUAUUCCUUUCUCGUAUUGAAGAUCCUUUAGAGAAAGUUAUAUAGCAGGGUGACUUCCCCAUAAUGUUCUCAAUUUUCAUAUAUUGAUCUAAUUUCAGGGAUAAGAUUUUAGAAAUUAUGUUUUCUUCGGCUUUGUAUGGAUCGACUUGAACAUGUUGAAUUGUGUCUGAAACUAUUUACCUUUCAGUUUGGAUAUUUGUUAAAUAAACAAUUUUUCAAUGAAGUACAACUAAGUAUAUUCACUAAUUUAUUUUUGUUGAUGUAGGCAUCACAGAUUGAAAAGACGAGAAGAAUUCCCUUUUUUGCAAAAGCUAGAAUUUUUUUUUUUAAAGGCAGAUAUCUUAAAUUGAUUUAUGUACCAUGCUAAGUAUUUCUUCAACAGGCCAUUCUUGUUGUUGUAAAUCAUAAAACCACUUUAUAAGUUUGAUUUUCCUUUCCGUAGAAUUUUCCAUUAGGGUAUUAAAAAUAAUUGUGAUAUAUGGUGGGAUUAUACUGAUUAAACAGGAACUCCACUGUUAAGUUUACCACUGGGAUGAGGGCAACAACAUUCAUGUAUUUACCCAAGGCUGACAUGAUCAUGAAAAUGAGGACAGUUUGAGAAGUUUGAUAAUUUGUAGUUCCUACAAAUUUUCCUCUAACAAACUUUACUCUUUGGAUCAAAUAAAUCUCGUCAAUCAUCAGUGUUACAUUUUUUUUUCUCUGCUCUUCAAGCCUAUAAUUCAUGCUUUUAAGUACUUUGUGUGGAUAAAGGUUAUGCUGUUUCUGCGGUAAUCACACUGGAUACGGUCCCAAGAUAUCUAGGAGACAGAAGUGACAGAGCAUUGGACGGAUAUAUUUGCUCGUAGAGGCCAGAACUGGCAUUGUGUCAUAUCAAAGCAACGGAAAGGAGUCCAGAAGAAUAUAUUUUACGUUUAGGCUGUUCGAAAAACAAAAAACAAAACAACUGCUUAAA
rnacentral:lncRNA from 1 species